rnacentral:lncRNA from 1 species
AGGUGCGAGUGUAACGGGGAGUGCUGCAAGGGAAGGCCAUGUGAAGACACAGUGAGAAGGCCACCAUAUGCAAGCCACAAGGGAACUCUCACCAGAACCAACCCUGCUGACACCUUCAUCUUCACUUCUGGCCCCUAGAACUCAUAAAGUCAAAGGAGACCUGAGAAUUUGCUGCAACUUGGAAGUUUUCCUGGAGAUUCCACUGAGAUCCACUCUGCAUUGCCUGUCACUUUAACCAGGUAUGAUACUUACGGAAGCUCCUGUGCUUUGCCGCUGAGGCUUGUUGAAUCCAUGCCACUGCGGUAAGUCACUACUAUGUCUGAAUUGGCUCUUUUUGUAGAAGUUAGCUGUUUAUUCUCACUGUGGUAACAGGGUUUUGUUAUUGGGUCUCAUUUGUUUGGCAUCCUUGGUGGAAUCAAGCCUUUCGUUUUCAUUGCCUUUUGCUUUCUUUCGUGCUUCCAUUUUUUGUUGUGUGUCUAAAAGUGUUGUAAUGAGAAGGAGACUCACUGAAUAGAAUAUUAACAUGAACCCUUAUAGGGUAUAAGCCUGUUGUGCAAAAGCCAGUUUCACUGACCAUUGAAUUUAUGGUUUCUCAUCAAGCCAAUAUCCAUUUGGGAAAAAUGUUGUGUGUCAACAGUAAACCUGAUAAGGUUCUCCUACCAUCUUUAGUUUCUGAUUUGAGAGCUUGGCUUUGAGAGGUCUGAGAAUUUUCUGCUUGGGGAGUGGGUGCAGACUGUCAGGCCUGUGUUUGGAGGCAGUUUUUGAGCGAACAUUGCUAUGGGGUUGUCUAAGCCUAAAUCAUCUCUUUUCGUUGGAAAGAUUUCUGCUUCUUAUGGGUGCCCUCUAAGUCUUCUACCUAUUUCUCUAAAGGCAUACCUUCACUGAGCUUGAUUUGAGUUUCAGUGGCCAUUCUGGGGAACAUUUGAUUUGAAUACAAUUGUUCAUUUGCUGUUUUUGCCACCAGCAUUUAUGACCCCAGAGACAGCCAUAACUGGCCCCUGUCUUCCCAGGAGACCCUCCAAGACCAGCAGAUAGGUUUGGUCCUGUCUCCUAUAAAGUCACCACCUUUGCCCUGAUCCUCAUGGGCAUGUAAGCUUGUGUUUGCCUGCUAAGAGUAGAGGCUCUGUUUCCCCCAGUCCUGUGAGCUCCUGCAGUCAAACCCCACUGACCUUCAAAGCCAAAUGCUCUGGGGGAUCCACCCCCUGAUGCUAGACUCCAGGCUGGAGAGUCUGACAUUGGGCUCAGAACUCUCACUCCUGUGGGAGAACUUCUGCGAUUCAAUUAUUCUUCAGUUUGUGGGUUGCCCACCUUGGGAGUAUGGGAUUUAAUUGUAUUGUGAGUGUGCCCCUCAUACUCUCUUGUUGAGGUUCUUCUUUAUGUUUUUGAAUGUGGAAUGUCUUUUUGUUAGGUUUCAGCCUUUUUAAAUUGAUGGUUGUUCAGCAGUUAGUUGUGAUUUUGUUAUUCUUUGGAGAGGAGGUGAACACAAAACCCUUCUAUUCUGCCAUUUUGUCUCCAAUCUCCAACUGUUCAUUUGAGAAACACCUUAUAAAGAGAAUAUUUUUCAGGCCCAAUGGGAAGCAUUUUUUAACCAGUAACAGCAGCUUCCAAAUAAAAUUCUCAUCAACAAUUUCUUCACUAGAAGAUUUUUUGGCCAACGCUAAUGAGCAAUUUGACAAGCUCAUGUAACAAAAAAUAAGACUUGUCUCCCAGGUAAAUGCUCCCCAUCCUUGUCCUCCAGUUCCUAUCACUAUCCAAAUAUUCCUCUUCUUUUUUCCCUUCUGAUUUCUCCUUCGAUACCUCUUUUAACUCCUCCCUUCUCUUUCUCUUGUUUGAUCACCUAAUUCUUUUAAGAAUCCAAACUCUAGUUUCCUGUAAAGAUCUAUCCCUCCAUGGGUCAAUCAUGUAAGCAAGUGUAGACUUUAAACUAUGGAACCAAUCUAUAUCAAAGCUAUAACUGAGGAUUUCCCUGAAGCAACAGACCAGCAAACAUUCAUGGAAAAAUUUCAAAUUCUUUGAAGUGCAUUGGAACCUCAAAUGCUAAAUUGGUAUUGCAAAAGGUGAUUGAACUGACCUAGAAAAGGAACCAAAAGAUCCUUCCUUCCAUAGUAAACUUGAGAGUUAAAAAAUGCAUGCUUCCCAAUAGAGGAAAGUUUCCUAAAAGCCAUGCUCCAAAUAUUUCCAGUAAAAAUCAUUUGAAGAUCUGUUGCAUAAUAAUGUGAAUGUAGUUAACACUACUAAACUUUACACUCAAAAAUGAUUAAGAUUAUUUCAUGUUAUAUGCUUUUUUAACCACAAUUAAACAUUUAAAAAAAUUAAAAAAUAUUAAAAUUUGGUUGAACUAUAGUUUAAUCAUGGAAACUGAAAAGAAAUAAUAGGAGAUUUUUAGAAAGAUUAGAAAAUACCUUCUAAAAAUAUUUGGGAGUUAAAGAAGGGACAGCCCUUUCAUUUCAUUUUGACAAUGGAGUUAAACAUGAAAAUGGAGAUCUAAUUUAGAAACAAAAUUGGGGCGUUCUCAUGUGGCUCAGUGGGUUAAGGUUCCAGUGUUGUCACUGAAGUGGCUCAGGUCACUGCUGUGGCAUGGGUUCAAUCCAUGGUCCUGAGAAGUUCCACAUACACUGUCCCCCCCCCCCCGCCCCCCGCCCCUGAAAAAAAAAACAAAACAAAAAAACCUAAGUUGGAAUGGUAAAUAAUCCCUUACACCUGACAGAACAUUUUGAAAGGGCUUUAGAAAAAAACAAGCUGGAAGGAGUUCCCGUCGUGAUGCAGUGGUUAAUGAAUCCGACUGGGAACAAUGAUGUUGCGGGUUCUAUCCCUGCCCUUGCUCAGUGGGUUAACGAUCCGGCGUUGCCGUCUGUAGGUUGAAGAUGCGGCUCGGAUCCAGCGUUGCUGUGGCUCUAGCAUAGGCCGGUGACUAUAGCUCCGAUUAGACCCCUAGCCUGGGAACCUCCAUAUGCCGCCCGAGUGGCCCAAGAAAUGGCAAAAAGACAAAAACAAACAAAAAAUCAAGCUGGAAGCCAAAAUAAACUUAAGGUCCUGUAGGUCAAAUGGUUAGGUAGUCCACUGUCAGACUAACCACUUGUUGAAAAGGACACUAAUAGAUAUUUAUAAAUUGAAAUGACCCUGGGAAAAAAGGCAGUCCCAUCCAACCAAAGAAAAACCAAGGCAAAGAAAAAUUAUUUAAUUCAGAUGAAUGAGGGGUGUUUCAAGGAAGGAAAAAGAGCUCAAUAUUUUGCCUUAACUUUAAACAUUCAGAGUGAGUUAAAUAUAAAGGUAGAUGGUCCACCUCAUUAAUUACUGGUCGAUAUGGACACUCCUUUUUCCACACUAAACUCUGCCAUGUGUGCCUAACUGCUUCCUGAGAGUAAAAGUACCACUCAGAUGGUAGGUAUUUCAAAUAAACAGAGAUGUUCCCUACAUCUGAACCCUUACUCUAAUCCUCAGGCCCUUGACUAAAAUUAUGCCUUCCUCUUCUGUGAUACCACUCCUGCAAACUUAAUAGGGAAUAAUUUACUUUACAAAUGAGACUGUAAUAUUAAAUACACAGCAGAGGGACCAUUUCUUGAGGACACUCCUAUUUGUAAUCAAACUGUGUCUUCUUUGGAUAGUCCUUUGUCUUCUCCAUUAUAUUUGAUAUGUUCCCACAGACAAAGAUCUUUACACCAUACCUGACACUAGGAGCUAAAAUUUCAGCUGACAUAGGAAAAAUAAUAGAAGUAGAACCCAGCAAAGUUCAGAUAGAUCCUACCAAACCAUUAUCCAAACUUCCCCAAUAUUUCUUGAAGCUGGAAGCAAAAGAAAGGAUCAAACCUAUAGUUAAAAGGUUGAUAUACAAAGAUCUUAUACUACACAAUAGCCUUUGUAACACUCUUGUCCUGCCAGUUAAGGACCUAGACAGAGGAGGAUGUUGAUUUGUUCAGACUUCAGCACCAUCAGCAAAAUUGUUAGCCUUUGGUUCCUGAUAGUUUCUAAUGUAAAUACUAUCCUGUCGUUAACUCUACUUGAAGCUACUUGCUUUACCGUAUUGGAUCACGGCUCUGCCUUUUUCAUUGUGGCUUUAGAACAGAAUAGGCAGUAUCUUUUUGCCUUUACCUGAGUAGGACAGCAAUAUACCUGAGCAAUCAUAUCCCAGGGUUUUUUCCUCAAAUCAAUACUUAAAGAUUAAACCUCCCAUGUGAUUCAUUUGUAAGAAUAUGUGGACGAUCUACUUUGUUCAGAGAACAAGUAAACUUAAAGUAUUCAAUUUACAUUCUCUCAGCCCUAGCAAAAAAGGGACAUACAGUCACAAAUGACAAAUUUUGCUAAAAUAUAGUUUGUUAUUUAGGGUAUGGCCUAUAUAAUGAGGGGAAAGAACACUAUCUCCUGUUAGACUAAAAACAAUCUAAACUUAACCUAGAUGCUUUAAAAAAUAACUAUAAAGAUAAUUCCACAUUUAAGUGGAUAUUAUAGACAAUGGGUGCCAAAUUUUACUGAAAUUGUAACACCCUUUUAGGUGUCGAGUGAGUCUAUAUUAGGAAACUCUAUUUUCAGAGAGCUCAGACAUUAACAGGCCUUCUAUAACCUAAAAAAGGGCUCUUGAACAACUUUACUUAGACAUCACUGACUACAAAAACCACUUUUGUCUAUUUGUGCAAGGUAGACAAGCAUUUGCAGUUGUAACUCCCUUUCAUGGGAACUACCAGUUACUGUACCCUCACUCCUGAUAUGAUGACUGCUGCUGUACGACUUUGGCUUCUGCUGAACUAGAUCUGGGUUCCCUGUUUGACUUCUUGGUUUCUCAUGUGGUACAGCCAUUACCACUGGCUGAGAACACAAAACACUUUUCAGCCAGCCAGUUAAUUUUUAUGAAAUUCUUUCACUUUCCCCCCCUCACAUUAUUAUUCUCCACUGCAAUACCCUGAUCCCACCACUGUCCAGUUCCUACCAGA